rnacentral:misc_RNA from 1 species
AACGGGAGCGAGCUUGCUCGCGAUAGCAGCCCGAUAGUCAGUAUUGUUGUGACCUGACUCUCCGCCAUCGCGAGCAAGCUCGCUCCCACA